rnacentral:rRNA from 1 species
UACGGAGGGUGCAAGCGUUAUCCGGAUUUACUGGGUUUAAAGGGUGCGUAGGUGGAUUAGUAAGUCAGGGGUGAAAUCUUCAAGCUUAACUUGGAAACUGCCUUUGAUACUAUUAGUCUUGAAUAUCCUGGAGGUGAGCGGAAUAUGUCAUGUAGCGGUGAAAUGCUUAGAUAUGACAUAGAACACCAAUUGCGAAGGCAGCUCACUACGGGAUUAUUGACACUGAGGCACGAAAGCGUGGGGAUCAAAC